rnacentral:rRNA from 1 species
GUAAAACGUAGGAGGCGAGCGUUAUCCGGAUUUACUGGGCGUAAAGCGCGCGCAGGCGGCUUCGUAAGUCGGACGUGAAAGCCCCCGGCUCAACUGGGGGAGGCCGUUCGAUACUGCGGGGCUUGAGGUCGGGAGAGGGAAGCGGAAUUCCCGGUGUAGUGGUGAAAUGCGUAGAUAUCGGGAGGAACACCAGUGGCGAAGGCGGCUUCCUGGCCCGCACCUGACGCUAAGGCGCGAAAGCGUGGGGAGCGAACGGGAUUAGAUACCCCGGUAGUCCACGCCCUAAACGAUGGCAACUAGGUGUUGGGGGUAUUGACCCCCUCAGUGCCGAAGCUAACGCGAUAAGUUGCCCGCCUGAGGACUACGAGCGCAAGCUUAAAACUCAAAGGAAUUGACGGGGACCCGCACAAGCAGCGGAGCGUGUGGUUUAAUUCGAUGCAACACGAAGAACCUUACCUGGGCUUGACAUGGCCGUAGUAGUGAAGCGAAAGUGGAACGAGCCUGUAUAGGCAGCGGUCACAGGUGCUGCAUGGCUGUCGUCAGCUCGUGCCGUGAGGUGUCGGGUUAAGUCCCGCAACGAGCGCAACCCCUGCUGUUAGUUAUACGUGUCUAACGGGACUGCCGGUUUAACGCCGGAGGAAGGUGGGGAUGACGUCAAGUCAGCAUGGCCUUUAUGUCCAGGGCUACACACACGCUACAAUGGCCGGUACAAUGGGUUGCCAAGUCGCGAGGCGGAGCUAAUCCCAUCAAAGCCGGUCUCAGUUCGAAUUGGAGUCUGCAACCCGACUCCAUGAAGUUGGAGUUGCUAGUAACCGCCGGUCAGCCAUACGGCGGUGAAUACGUUCCCGGGUCUUGUACACACCGCCCGUCACGUCAUGGGAGCCGGUAACACCUGAAGCCGGUGGGCUAACCCGCAAGGGAGGCAGCUGUCGAAGGUGGGACUGGUGACUGGGACG